AUUGAACGCUGGCGGAAUGCUUUACACAUGCAAGUCGAACGGCAGCACGGGGCAACCUGGUGGCGAGUGGCGAACGGGUGAGUAAUACAUCGGAACGUGCCCAGUCGUGGGGGAUAACGUAGCGAAAGUUACGCUAAUACCGCAUACGAUCUAUGGGUGAAAGCGGGGGACCGCAAGACCUCGCGCGGUUGGAGCGGCCGAUGUCAGAUUAGGUAGUUGGUGGGGUAAAGGCCUACCAAGCCGACGAUCUGUAGCUGGUCUGAGAGGACGACCAGACACACUGGGACUGAGCCACGGCCCAGACGCCUACGGGAGGCAGCAGUGGGGAAUUGUGGUCAAUGGGCGCAAGCCUGAUCCAGCCAUUCCGCGUGCAGGAUGAAGGCCUUCGGGUUGUAAACUGCUUUUGUACGGAACGAAAAGGCUCUGGUUAAUACCUGGGGCUCAUGACGGUACCGUAAGAAUAAGCACCGGCUAACCACGUGCCAGCAGCCGCGGUAACAC
rnacentral:rRNA from 1 species